CUACAGCCCUGGAAAGGGAAGAUGAGGAUACAACUAUACCAACAGCUGUGGGGUGUGGGGAGAAGCUGGAGUGUCUUGGAGAAGAUCCAUGGGUAAGCAAGGCUCCAAGUGGAGAAUUCUAGAACCCUGACAACAUGGAGUUGCUCCUUAACUAAAAGAGCAGUGACAAGUGGGGGACAGAAUGUCGGGUGCCAUGACAGAGUCAACAGGAAACAAGAAAGCUGAUUAGCUAGAAGUGGUCUGGAGUGUUUGCAAAGAGGUUUGUCCACGGAUUAUGUGUUAUAUGAUGGGAUUUUCCCUUCAAUACAUCACAUCUCCAGAUACAGCACUGAUUAGAAGUGAUGGCAAACAACCUUGUCCUUGACCUUGGGGAAAAGGCAUUAUAGAUGCCACUUUUAGGUGUGAUGUCACCAGCAUAUUUUCUUACAGUUUGACGGGAGUGCCUUCUACUCCUGGUUUGUCACAGACACUCCUUGAAUUCUGCCAGGUGCUUUUCU
rnacentral:lncRNA from 1 species